rnacentral:rRNA from 1 species
UACAGAGGGUGCGAGCGUUAAUCGGAAUUACUGGGCGUAAAGCGUGCGCAGACGGUUGCGUAAGUCAGAUGUGAAAGCCCCGGGCUCAACCUGGGAAUUGCAUUUGAGACUGCGUAGCUAGGGUGCGGAAGAGGGAAGCGGAAUUUCCGGUGUAGCGGUGAAAUGCGUAGAUAUCGGAAGGAACACCAGUGGCGAAAGCGGACUUCCUGGUCCAGCACCGACGUU